AUACGGGGGGUGCAAGCGUUAAUCGGAAUUACUGGGCGUAAAGCGCGCGUAGGCGGUUGGACAAGUUGGAUGUGAAAGCCCCGGGCUCAACCUGGGAAUGGCAUCCAAAACUGUCCGACUAGAGUUCGGUAGAGGGGAGUGGAAUUCCACAUGUAGCGGUGAAAUGCGUAGAUAUGUGGAGGAACACCAGUGGCGAAGGCGGCUCCCUGGAUCGAAACUGACGCUGAGGUGCGAAAGCGUGGGUAGCAAACAGGAUUAGAAACCCCGGUAGUCC
rnacentral:rRNA from 1 species